UACGUAGGGGGCUAGCGUUGUCCGGAAUCAUUGGGCGUAAAGCGCGUGUAGGCGGUCCGGUAAGUCCGCUGUGAAAGUCGGGGGCUCAACCCUCGGAUGCCGGUGGAGUACUGUCGGGCUUGAGUACGGAAGAGGCGAGUGGAAUUCCUGGUGUAGCGGUGAAAUGCGCAGGAUAUCAGGAGGAACACCAAUUGCGAAGGCAGCUCGCUGGACGUUACUGACGCUGAGACGCGAAAGCGUGGGGAGCAAACAGG
rnacentral:rRNA from 1 species